AUUUUGCCUAUUUUCAAACUACUAUAUAUAUGUUUUCUUAUUAACAGUCAAUCGGGAGAAACACAUUAGUUCAAACUCUCUCACACUCAAAACCUUUCACCUCUCUUGCUUUGGUUACUUGCUAUUAUUUUGAGUUAGUCGGCUUCAAGCCAAGGCUAAUUAUUGUGCUCUCCUAUUCUUCACUUUGUGUUUACUAUCUCUUUACUAGUACGUUCUGAUUUCAAUUCAAAUCCCAAAACCAAUAUAUUUCUUUUAUUACCUCAGUUUCUUAUGCUUCUAAUUUGUUUCUUUCUAUGGUUCGGAUUGUUCAACAUGUAAUUGACAUGUUUGCAUUAUUGCUUUAUCUAGCGUGCUAGUCUAACCCUCGUAGGGCAUUUCAGAACAUAUUCUACUCCCUUGGUAGUCUGUCUCAAUGUGACUCUACCCUGUUUCGAAUGCUUGUCUACUUGCUAUCCAGUUUUGAUAUGCAUUUACUUUGCAAACUGAUAAGUCACUUUAAAUUUCUGAUUCUAUGAUUGGUUCUGAAAUUCAUACAGUAUUGGUACCACUAUCUAUCCCCUAAUCCCAUAAACCCCGACAAGAACUUCUAUGCUCUUGUAUAAUAUGUGCUCUAUGUGUCCCCAAAUCCCAUUACCC
rnacentral:lncRNA from 1 species